CCUACGGGUGGCAGCAGUGGGGAAUAUUGCACAAUGGGGGAAACCCUGAUGCAGCAACGCCGCGUGAGUGAGGAAGUAUUUCGGUAUGUAAAGCUCUAUCAGCAGGGAAUAGACAAGAAGUUACCUGAAACAGAAGCCCCGGCUAACUACGAGCAAGAAGCCGCGGUAAUACGUAGGGAGCAAGCGUUAUCCGGAUUUACUGGGUGUAAUGGGAGCGUAGACGGAAAGGCAAGGCAGAAGUGAAAGCCCAAGGCUCAACCAUGGGACUGCUUUUGAAACUGUCAAACUAGAGUACGGGAGGGGUAAGAGGAAUUCCUAGUGUAGCGGUGAAAUGCGUAGAUAGUAGGAGGAACACCAGUGGCGAAGGCGUCUUACUGGACCGAAACUGACGUUGAGGCUCGAAAGCGUGGGGAGCAAACAGGAUUAGAUACCCCUGUAGUC
rnacentral:rRNA from 1 species